rnacentral:rRNA from 1 species
GCCUACCAUGGUGGUAACGGGUAACGGGGUGUUAGGGCACGACACCGGAGAGGGAGCCUGAGAAACGGCUACCACAUCCAAGGAUGGCAGCAGGCGCGCAAAUUACCCAAUCCCGACACGGGGAGGUAGUGACAAUAAAUAACAAUACGGGGUUCUUUCGGAUCUCGUAAUUGGAAUGAGUACAAUUUAAAUCUCUUAACGAGGAACAAUUGGAGGGCAAGUCUGGUGCCAGCAGCCGCGGUAAUUCCAGCUCCAAUAGCGUAUAUUAAAGUUGUUGCAGUUAAAAAGUUCGUAGUUGAAUUUCGGGAUCAGAUUGUCGGUCGUGCCUCGGUACGCACUGGCAUUAUUGGUUCCUACCUUCUGAAGAACCGCGAUGUCAUUAAUUUGGUGUCGUGGGGAAUCAGGACUGUUACUUUGAAAAAAUUAGAGUGUUUAAAGCAGGCUAACGCUUGAAUACAUUAGCAUGGAAUAAUGAAAUAGGACGUUCGAUCCUAUUUUGUUGGUUUCUAGGAUUGACGUAAUGAUUAAUAGGGAUAGUUGGGGGCAUUAGUAUUCAAUUGUCAGUAGGUGAAAUUCUUGGAUUUAUUGAAGACUAACUACUGCGAAAGCAUUUGCCAAGGAUGUUUUCAUUAAUCAAGAACGAAAGUUAGGGGAUCGAAGUACGAUCAGAUACCGUCGUAGUCUUAACCAUAAACUAUGCCGACUAGGGAUCGGAUGAUGUUAAUUUUUUAAUGACUCAUUCGGCGCCUUACG